AAAUUGCCCUCUAAGUUUUGCAACUGUAGCAGUUUUGGCCUCCAAAGCCAAUUUUUGGUAAAAAAAAUAAAAAAUGUGGCACCUCACUUACGGUGCCACGUCAGCGUAGACUGGGUUAAAAUUGGUCUUGGAGGCCAAAACUGCUACAGUUGUAAAACUUAAGGGACAAUUU
rnacentral:pre_miRNA from 1 species